rnacentral:lncRNA from 1 species
CUUUAUAUAAUAUUGGAACCAAAAAUAACAUGAAACAGUGCUUGAACGCUAAUGGGCUGGACCCAAAAUGACAAGGUAAUUAAUACAGUGCACAAGCACAAAGCGAAAAAUUGACAACUCAGAAUUGAAGAAAAAGAAAUGGACCUCACGAGCUUCUUCCAAAUGUACGAACCAUUGGGGUGAAAAAACCGUCGUACAAAGGGAGCUCUUGGUCUGAACCACUCGAUCGACGAAACUGCGUAGUAUCUUAUGGCCAUGACUAGCUAGUGACCCGGACCCCUGGGGCUCGGGCCUGAGGGAAGCUGCUGCGUCCACGCCAUGGCCGUCGUCUUCGACCACGCCCUCUCCCGCAUGGUCGCGUAGGCCGUCGUCGCCGUCGCCGCCGCCUCAUGUCUCUCGACGACGACCCGGCCUUCUUCAGGCAGCUGCCUCGCAGCAUCUACAGCAGAGAUGAGAACGCCGCCGAGGAGCGCAAUGCUGAGGAGGAGGACGGUCGCGGAAGCAGCAGUGGUGAUCUUCAUAGGUGAUCGAACGAGGUUGAUGGCGAUCUGGAUCGAAGUCUUAUUACAUGCACAAACUCUACAAGGAUAGGAGGUUUUAUGCUGGUUAUUACAGGCCAGUGUUUUACGGCCGGUCGGUUAGCUUUGUGUCGGCAUAUAUAAGAACGAAGUCUCCC